CACCACAAAAUGUCGCCAGGACUUCACAGGGACACCACACAAUGUCCACCAUGACACGAGGACUUGGCCACCCUGGGGACACCCUAAAAUGCCCACCAUGACAUGAGGACUUGGCCACCCCGGGGACACCCUAAAACGCCCACCAUGACACGAGGGUUGGCCACCACACAGUGUCCCCAUGACACGAGGACUUGGCCACCACGGGGACACCCUAAAACGCCCACCAUGACACGAGGACUUGGCCACCACGGGGACACCCUAAAACGCCCACCAUGAAACGAGGGGUUGGCCACCACGGGGACACCAUGACACGAGGACUUGGCCACCCCGGGGACACCCUAAAACACCCACCAUGACACAAGGGUUGGCCACCACACAGUGUCCCCAUGACACGAGGACUUGGCCACCACGGGGACACCCUAAAAUGCCCACCAUGACACGAGGGUUGGCCACCACACAAUGUCCACCAUGACAUGAGGGGUUGGCCACCACGGGGACACCAUAAAAUGCCCACCAUGACACAAGGGACUGGCCACCACGGGGACACCACAGAUGGUCCACCAUGACAUGAGGACUUGGCCACCACGGGGACACCCUAAAACGCCCACCAUGACAUGAGGGUUGGCCACCACACAGUGUCCACCAUGACACGAGGACUUGGCCACCCCAAAAUGCCCACCAUGACACGAGGGUUGGCCACCACACAACGUCCACCAUGACACGAGGACUUGGCCACCCCAGGGCCACCCUAAAACGCCCACCAUGACACGAGGGUUGGCCACCACACAACACCCACCAUGACACGAGGACUUGGCCACGAUGGGGCCACCCUAAAACGCCCACCAUGACACAAGGGUUGGCCACCACACAAUGCCCACCAUGACACGAGGGUUGGCCACCACGGGGCCACCCUAAAACGCCCACCAUGACACGAGGGUUGGCCACCACACAACGCCCACCAUGACACGAGGACUUGGCCACCCCGGGGCCACCAUAAAUG